UUUCCUUUUCCCCUCUCUUGUCUCCUACAAGGUGUUCUGCUAGGGCACAACGCUCUUUCGUCUCUGAGCUAACGAAACCCAUUCUACCUCCAAUUUUCAUGUUUCAGCUCACUAUUCUUGUUAAUGGAGCUGUUGUGCUCCUUAGCUUUGGGUUGUUUGCUUUUGCUACUCUAAAUCCAGAUGGAGGAAAUGUUGAAGGUAGACCUGACAGUCGCAACGGUGCAGUUUAGAUGGCAUGUUGUAUGUGGC